rnacentral:rRNA from 1 species
AUACGGAAGAUGCGAGCGUUAUCCGGAUUUAUUGGGUUUAAAGGGAGCGUAGGCGGAAGGUUAAGUCUGCGGUAAAAUGGCCGUGCUCAACGCGGUCCUGCCGUGGAUACUGGUCUUCUUGAAUGUGCACAAGGAAGGUGGAAUUCGUGGUGUAGCGGUGAAAUGCUUAGAUAUCACGAAGAACUCCGAUUGCGAAGGCAUCCUUCUGGGGCAUGAUUGACGCUGAGGCUCGAAAGCGCGGGUAUCAAACAGGAUUAGAUACCCUGGUAGUCCGCGCCGUAAACGAUGAAUACCCGUCGUUGGCGAUACACAGUCAGCGACCAAGCGAAAGCAUUAAGUAUUCCACCUGGGGAGUACGCCGGCAACGGUGAAACUCAAAGGAAUUGACGGGG